GAUCAUCUUUCAUUGGAUGGAGAUUUGAGUAACAGCAAUGACAGUUUGUCAGCUGACAACACUAAGGUAAAUGUUAGCAUGUUUUUAGCUCAGCUUUGUCAGUUAAUCAAAAAUCACACGAAACAUAACAACUUAACUCCCAUUUGAACUCUUUUCCUUCAGGAGAAGGGCAGUAAGUUUGGCGGGAUGUUUAAAGGCUGGACCAAAGGCGCCAACGACCAGGCUGAGGUGUGGUUUUGCCGCGUGGCGUUCUUGUCUCCAGGCUCUUCUUAUAUUAUGCACAUACUCUGCAUAUAUUCAAUCCAAAUGAAUAUUAACUCGCUGGACAUCGUUUCCCCCCAGGAGGAUCUGUCUGCGUCCGGGGACUUGAAGGGAAGCGUUGAUAAUCUCUCGGAGGGGAAAGAGGGCAAGGCGAGCAGAGCCGUACACAUCAGGCUAACAAACCACUGGUGGACCGAAGUAAGAGAAGGUCCCAGAUAACAUCUGGAUCUGUUUCUUUCCUCCAGGAGAAAGGAGGGCUGUUUAGUGGGGUGUUUAAAAAGAACAAGAGGACCCAGUCCGUGGAGGACCUGACCGCAGACUCUGAGCUGUCCGCCAGCACUGACAAUCUCGCAGAGAAGACUUCCAAGGGCGGUGUUAUGGGCAAGAUCCUGAAGAGUCCAUUCCAGUCCUCCGCCUGGCAGGAGAAGAGCGAGCAGCCUGCUGAUUCCAGUGACGCGCUGCGUGCAGAGGAAACCCGAGCCAGAAAGCAGGAUCGUCUUUCAUUGGAUGGAGAUUUGAGUAACAGCAAUGACAGUUUGUCAGCUGACUGCGCUAAGGAGAAGGGCAGUAAGUUUGGCGGGAUGUUUAAAGGCUGGACCAAAGGCGCCAACGACCAGGCUGAGGAGGAUCUGUCUGCGUCCGGGGACUUGAAGGGCAGCGUUGAUAAUCUCUCGGAGGGGAAAGAGGGCAAGGAGAAAGGGGGGCUGUUUGGUGGGGUGUUUAAAAAGAACAAGAUGACCAAGUCUCGGGUAAGUGUUUUUAGCAAACUCCGCUAGCAUUAGUAAACUAUUAUGGAUCUGUAAAGGCUUCAGAUCAACACCUUGUAGACUAGCCACUGUAGAA
rnacentral:lncRNA from 1 species